rnacentral:lncRNA from 1 species
UGUGUUGGCAUUGUCCAGACCAUCUGAUCUUGGUUCCACGUUUAAAUCAGGGCCCUUGAUUUUGAAUAUCAUGCGUGUACACGCAUUGACUGAAGCGUUUGGUGGAAGCAUGCGCUUGGCCAUCAGAUUUGCCCCCUCAAUUAAUGAGGGAGAUCUGAUGGCCCUUGUUUUUUUUUUAAUUUCUUAUUUAUUUCUAAUUUUUCAUUUAAUUUCUUUAUUUUGUUUAAUUCAUA